rnacentral:lncRNA from 1 species
UUCCCUGCCCUCAGACCGGACGGAAGCUUCCCCCAAACCUCCUUCCCCUCGGCGGCUGAAGGCAAUAAACAUGGCGGCAGCGGACAGGCUGCAGCUUGGGGGCAUCCAGGACCUGCUUCGUGCAUCCCCGACUCUCCUUUCCAAUCAGAUGGAGGAAGCUCACCCGAUGGCAAGCAUGACUGCAGCCCCAAAUCAUCUCUCCUUGUAAGUAUCUGAAUAAUAUUUUGUUGGUGGUUCUUUGUCCGGAAUGAAAUUCCUUGUCAUAGUAUAGCAGUAGUCGUUGGUGUUGGUUCUUGACUGCCGUUUCUGCCAAUUUUUGGUAGGUGCAACGGGAGCAAAGAAUUUGACAUAGAUUGGGGAGAUUACCUAGCCAAUGAUGCACGAAUGCUAACUAUGGGUGGCGUUUCUGCUGGUCCUUUGCUUCCUUUGCUUGUUCAAGGGAUUGAGUGUUCCACAUCCCAGCUUGCUAGUUCAAGCCAGCCAAAUCAUGUGGAUGUUGAGCGCCAAACAAAUGAUGUAGAUGGUGACC